rnacentral:sRNA from 13 species
UAAUCAAUCAACGAAAAACAAUAGAUGCAAAAGACGUCAUUCCGGUGUCGUCGCUAUCUUCUUCUGAUACCUGUCUGUCAUUCUAUCUUCUGCUCGA